UACGUAGGGUGCGAGCGUUGUCCGGAAUUAUUGGGCGUAAAGGGCUCGUAGGCGGUUUGUCGCGUCGGGAGUGAAAUCCACUGGCUUAACUGGUGGCUUGCUUUCGAUACGGGCAGACUGGAGGUAUGCAGGGGAGAACGGAAUUCCUGGUGUAGCGGUGGAAUGCGCAGAUAUCAGGAGGAACACCAAUAGCGAAGGCAGCUCGCUGGGACGGUACUGACGCUAAGGCGCGAAAGCGUGGGGAGCGAACAGG
rnacentral:rRNA from 1 species